UACGUAGGGCGCAAGCGUUGUCCGGAAUUACUGGGCGUAAAGUGUGCGCAGGCGGCGUCGCAAGUCGAGUGUGAAAGCCCCGAGCUUAACUUGGGAAUUGCGCUCGAAACUACGGUGCUGGAGUAUGGCAGAGGAAGGUGGAAUUCCACGUGUAGCGGUGAAAUGCGUAGAGAUGUGGAGGAACACCGAUGGCGAAGGCAGCCUUCUGGGCCAAUACUGACGCUCAUGCACGAAAGCGUGGGGAGCAAACAGG
rnacentral:rRNA from 1 species